ACAGCAGUGCAAAUGUACUUAGACUUGAGUAUUUCAACAACUCUUCUCUUCCAACUUGUUAGGCAAUCAUAUCUACCUACCGGGGAAGGAUGGCCAGCCACACAGGAGGGUGAUUUUUACUAAGGAGAAGGAGGCCGUGCUGACCGAGAUGCAUGCUGGCCAUUUUGGGGGGUGAAGAGCAUGAUUGCCAAAAUCAACCUAUGCUACUUCUGACGGGGAAUUGUCAAGGAGCUGGACAGCUGGGCAAGUGAAAUAACCUUGUGUUCAUCAAUCACAUUCUAUUAUAUUUGAAAUUAUUAUGAUUUCAAUGAAUGUCAUAUCAGAGAGCACACAAUGUUACAAUUUGUCACUUUUUGCUUAAAAGUCUGUGGCACUGGAGUUGAAGCCCAUCAAAGUUGUUUCAACACAUGAUCGGGGUGGACCUCAUUGGACCGUUUACAAAAUCCAGGAAAUGGCAACAGCUGGUGUCUGACUGCGACCGAUCACUUUACCAAGUGGGUGGAGGCAAUAGCCAUUCAGGACCUAUGGGUUUUGCCUAACACCCAGACCUGGAUCCACCUGAUGUCCUCCAUUACCUGUUCUCCAGGAGCUAGGGGGUUCUGCCCAACACCUAGACAUGGAUCCACCUGAUGUUCUCUAUUACCUGUUCUCCAAGACCAAGGGGUUCUGCCCAACACCCAGACGUGGAUCCACCUGAUGUCCUGCAUUACCUGUUCUCCAGGACCUAGGGGUUCUGCCUAACACCUAGACAUGGAUCCACCUGAUGUCCUCCAUUACCUGUUCUCUUUAACUCUGCUCCUGUUCUCCAGGACCUAGGGGUUCUGCCCAACACCUAGACAUGGAUCCACCUGAUGUCCUCCAUUACCUGUUCUCCAGGACCUAGGGGUUCUGCCCAACACCUAGACAUAGAGCCACCUGAUGUCCUCCAUUACCAACCACCCUCCAACUUUUCAUUACAUCAUCUACAGCUACUGUUGUUGUCAUGUUGUCAUUAUCCUCUAAGAAAGUUAUUGCGCUAUCAUACUGGGCACAUAUGUGAAAUACACUGAUUAAAAACACUAGCACUGCAAACACUCAAAACAAAGAGAGCAGCGGUGCCUAAAUGUAACCUUUAUUUAACUAGGCAAGUCAGUUAAGAACAAAUUCUUAUUUACGAUGACGGCCUACUCCGGCUAAACCCAGACGACGCAGGGCCAAUUGUGCGCCGCCCUAUGGAUACAGCCUGGACUUUGCAGUCUCCCGUUUCAAGUCCCCCUUCUGAGACUGGCUGCCUGUUGAGAUCAAGUGACAGGCAGAACCUCGCAACCACCUCCUCUAUAUUCCAAACACCAGAAUUCAGUAUUUUAGUCUAUGAUUGCCAUGUGAUGGCAUAAACAAAUCUGUAAAAAAAAUGACCCAAUUGUACCAAAAACAAACAAAAGUUUAUGUAUUAAAAUCUUAAAUAUUGCCAGGUUGGUUUUCA